CUCUAAUUCUCUAUCUCUCCUGUACUUGUUGCCCAGAGCUGUGUUAGUCACCCACACUCGCCCGUACUGAUCCGUGGCCACCAUCUCGGGUGGUCGGAUCCCGUGACUAGUCUACGUUUUGGGAAGACGCACAGGGAUUGAUUCCUCGUGGCAGUCGAGCACUGUAGACAUUCCUUCUUCUUCUUCUCCCUAUCUCUGUCCUUUCUACGGGGAGAACCUUGUUUAUUGAAAAUGGGACAGGAAUAUGCUAGACCUUCGAAGGGUCUCUUAGCCUGUGACAUUGUUAAAGAAAGAGCAGGAGAGGAAGCUAUGUUAAAGAUGAAGAAA